UACGUAGGGUGCGAGCGUUUGUCCGGAAUUAUUGGGCGUAAAGAGCUCGUAGGCGGUUUGUUGCGUCGGCUGUGAAAUCCCGAGGCUCAACCUCGGGUCUGCAGUCGAUACGAGCAAACUAGAGUGUUGCAGGGGAGACUGGAAAUUCCUGGUGUAGCGGUGAAAUGCGCAGAUAUCAGGAGGAACACCGGUGGCGAAGGCGGGUCUCUGGGCAACAACUGACGCUGAGGAGCGAAAGCGUGGGGAGCAAACAGG
rnacentral:rRNA from 1 species